AAUGAACGCUGGCGGCAUGCCUAACACAUGCAAGUCGAACGAAGGCUUCGGCCUUAGUGGCGCACGGGUGCGUAACGCGUGGGAAUCUGCCCUCAGGUUCGGAAUAACAGCGAGAAAUUGCUGCUAAUACCGGAUGAUAUCGCGAGAUCAAAGAUUUAUCGCCUGAGGAUGAGCCCGCGUAGGAUUUGCUAGUCGGUGUGGUAAAGGCGCACCAAGGCGACGAUCCUUAGCUGGUCUGAGAGGAUGAUCAGCCACACUGGGACUGAGACACGGCCCAGACUCCUACGGGAGGCAGCAGUGGGGAAUAUUGGACAAUGGGCGAAAGCCUGAUCCAGCAAUGCCGCGUGAGUGAUGAAGGCCUUAGGGUUGUAAAGCUCUUUUACCCGGGAUGAUAAUGACAGUACCGGGAGAAUAAGCUCCGGCUAACUCCGUGCCAGCCGCCGCGGUAA
rnacentral:rRNA from 1 species